GCCGCUAGUAGUGGCAGUUGCUCGAGGCUGCUUAACGCUGGAUUGUCAUCGCCAUGUGCAGCUCAGGGGGCAGCAGGCGAGCCUCCUGCUGAAGAUAAGGAAGGGUCGGUUUUCCUCUCAGUCACACCGGUUACUGGUGUGAAUUCCCCCGAUUCCAGCAACUUGAUGCACUCCGAAGAUCCUGGGAGUGGGUGGUUCCAGGCUCGCCCCCUGGGGGAAGGAUCGGGCCCCUCCCAUUGUGAUCAAAGCCGACACGAGCCAUUCUGCCGAAGUCGAGAGGGAGAAGACAAGGGAGCUUCUCUGCAAACGCGCCCCCGUUUUGGAAUGAAGCCUCGGGUAAAAGCGCAGCCGGCACUCGGAAUACAGCGCCGUGAAUGUAAACGGAGCAUCCCAAGGGAUGAAAGCGCACGUGGGAUUUAUUGUUUCAAUAUCAGGACAUUUGGGUUAAUUCGGAUCACACCUGAAUGCCUACCCCCCCCUUCGGGAAAUCGGCACUAACAAAAUGCCCUCAUUGCUCAGAACUGGAGAAAACGGGUCCUUCCCGGCUCCCUCCCCCUAUCCUCUAUUCCAUUCCAGCCCCCCCCCAGCCCCCAACUUUUGUCACGUGGUAAAAGUUUUAAAUAGGUGCUGAGCCCCUCUCCUCUGUGUCUCCCUCCAGAAGCACCCUGCUCCUCCCGAGCUCGGGACAGUCUGGUUUUCACUCCCAAGCUUAAUGGGAAUUGCCACCUGCCACAAAAAGCCCUUUCUUCUCACAACAGACCUUCCCCUGCCACAAGGCUGUGUCAAGGAAAAGCGCAAAACAAACAAAUCAACCAACAAACAAAAAACAAAAAACAAAAAACUCCCAAAAUAAACCAACCAAACCCCCCAAACGAAACCAAACCAACCAGCCCCAACCCCCCAAAAACAAACCAACCAAAAAACAAACCAAAACCACCCCAACCCCCGCACAACCCCCCCCCCCCCCCCAGCCAGGUGGGAGUCUCCCUAUAUCUAUGGCUGUGACAUUCAGAGAAUCCACCUAACAUGUUUUUGCUCCUAGGAAUCCUUGGGACCUUCCCAGCAAAGUGGAGAGGAGACAGCCCAGGGGCUGGGUUUUGGGAGCUGUCCCCCCUCCCCCAUGGCUGCUGAGUUGCCUUUUCUUCUCACAGCAGAGCGAGGAUCCAGAAUUGUAAAGGGACCAGCAGGGAACUGACCAGGGAACCGUUUUCACUCAAUUCCCACGUUCUCUGGGAUUUCUCUCCUUAUCCCCUGGGCAGCCGCCAUUCCCCCCAGCCUGUUAGCCAGGGACAAUGAGCCAGAGCCUGGUUUAAUUUAAUUGUCCUGUCAGCCUAGCCAGAGCUGCACUGUAACCCUUACACUUACUCCUGCGGAGCGGGGCGGCUUGGUAUUGCCAUUUGCACCAGAAAGCCCCCAAAGGACACUGUUCUGGGAGCCCCAGGCGUGCAUCAGGCUAGAACCCAACGAGGUUUCCACUUGAGAACAGGCCCUAGCUGCCAUUGAUACAUAGCACUAGUAGAUCCAGCACCAGGCUGCAAGACUGGGCACAGGGCUACCCACCAACCCAAAGCUGCAAACCCUGAGAGGAGAAAGGAAGAGAGAGAACAAAGGAGGAAACUGUAGAUGAGCCCAGUCCUAACUAUUCCAUACAAGUGUGUCCAGACAGCACGUGACACAACCUGGGGUAUAGAACGCUUCCCUCAUGCAGCUGGUGGAUCAUUACAUUUGCCAUUCAACACCUCCACUGGGGUUCAUUUGAAAGGAACGAGUAAGAGGUCUUGGAAAUGCAGCAUUGUUGAAUCAUUCUGCCACCCAGGGCCCGACCCUGCCACACCCACGACAAUAGCAAAACUCCCACUGAGUUCAAAUGGUAGAAAGGAUCGGGUCCCUGAUACUGCUAAGUUUUUUUCUGCCCUAGUGAAUGUUAUCACUGUUUGUCCUACUUGGUGGGGGGGAAAAAGUAUCACUUUAUAGAAUACUACUUCCAUGUUUGCUGUUUGAAUCAACUUCAGUGUUUCCAGGAAGCCUUGUAUUGACAUAUCUUCACCAUGGCCAUUCCCAGCCCUUACAUUAGUUGAAAAUAGAGGCUUAUCAGUCUAAAAAGUAAUGAGUGGUCAGCAGCAAAGAUACGAAUGUGUUUAUUGCCCCAUCAUCCAGUAUCUCAGCCUAGGAAAAGAAAAGAAACAGCUUGUGUUUGUAGAAAUGCCUCCUGCUUUCAUCACUGAAAGGAAGGGCUACCUAGGAAAAGUGACAGUCUUAUUAAUAUCCUUUGUGUGAUUUCAACAUGAACAGUAGGAACUUGAAUUAAGUAACUGUUUUUAGUGCGCAUAUGUUUCCUUUUAAUAUCUCUGCUCUCUUCUGUACUGCAGACAUUAAUCUCCUAAAUGCUUUUUUUAUUACAGUCAGACUAAUUUCAGCCCAGACUGUUCAUUUAAUUGACAACUGACGUGACAUAGGGUGUUUUAUGUACUUAAUGGGUCUCUUUGUGUUCUUGGGUUCAUGCAGCAAUAUUUUGGGUGUCUCCCUGGGAAAUGAAAUGCAUUUCUAAACUUUAAGAUUCUGUUCAUAAAUGCAUUUGAAAUACAUUUGACAUGAUCACUACAUGCAGCGACAAUCUCUAAUUGUAUAAUGCGUUUGCACAGCAUUUUAAUCCAGGCAUGCUACUGCAAACUGCUAGAAAGGGCGGCAUUUGUAGCUAUUACAGAAAUAUGCCUACACUGAUAUAAAAGGCGAUUUUUCUGUACUAAAGCUGUUAACAAUCCAGAAAAUUUACUAAAUACAAAAUGGAAUCUCAUAUAAAUUUUUACUGCAUGCAGGAUAGGAUGUAAGUUCUUGCUGACACUAAGAUAUCUUUACACCUCUAUGGGAGUGUGGAAUGGCCUUACUGAAGAGUGCACACAUGAUCCCUUCCCGCAGCCUUUGCUUUAAGGCUUAUUUACAUUGCCAGAGUGAUGGAAGUGGAACUUAGUGUAAAUGAGACUCGGGCCCAAUAUGUGUAACAGAGCAGUUCACUGUACUCCACAGAGAUGGGCUUCCUUUCUAGACAUUUUUUUAAAUGUAAAGAUUAUCAGAACAAAAAUGAUUUCUCUCACUUCACCUGGAAGGAAAGAAGAAAGCUGAGUAAAUGUGUGUUACAUAGAGUGAAUCAGAAUAAAUGUGAUGUUUUGGCUGUGAUUCCCGUUUCAGACUGAGGACAUAAAUAUGAAACAAGGUUAGAGUAAACCCAUUGCAAUUUAGGAUAAUGAUUAAUUAAUUGGUAUGUUUUAAUCUUCAUAUUUCUUAUUUUAAUAAUCCCAGAAGAAGUCUAUGGUAGGUAUAAGCAUUGUAGCAAAUAUGUAACUAACUGAUGUUAUUGCUGCUGUAUGUAUUUCUUAUUAAAUUCCCAAAGACCA